CCAGACUCCUACGGGAGGCAGCAGUGAGGAAUAUUGGUCAAUGGGCGCGAGCCUGAACCAGCCAAGUAGCGUGAAGGAUGACUGCCCUACGGGUUGUAAACUUCUUUUAUAAAGGAAUAAAGUGAGGCACGUGUGCCUUUUUGUAUGUACUUUAUGAAUAAGGAUCGGCUAACUCCGUGCCAGCAGCCGCGGUAAUACGGAGGAUCCGAGCGUUAUCCGGAUUUAUUGGGUUUAAAGGGAGCGUAGAUGGGUUUUUAAGUUAGUUGUGAAAGUUUGGGGCUCAACCGUAAAAUUGCAUUUGAAACUGGCAGCCUUGAGUACAGUUGAGGUAGGCGGAAUUCGUGGUGUAGCGGUGAAAUGCAUAGAUAUCACGAAGAACCCCGGUGGCGAAGGCAGCCUGCCAAGCCAUGACUGACGCUGAUGCACGAAAGCGUGGGGAUCGAACAGGAUUAGAUACCCGAGUA
rnacentral:rRNA from 1 species